rnacentral:rRNA from 1 species
UACGGAAGGUCCGGGCGUUAUCCGGAUUUAUUGGGUUUAAAGGGAGCGCAGGCCGGAGAUUAAGCGUGACGUGAAAUGCCGCGGCUCAACCGUGGAAGUGCGUCGCGAACUGAUUUUCUUGAGUAUGUUCGACGUAGGCGGAAUUCGUGGUGUAGCGGUGAAAUGCUUAGAUAUCACGAAGAACCCCGAUUGCGAAGGCAGCCUACGAGGCCAUUACUGACGCUAAAGCUCGAAGGUGCGGGUAUCGAACAGG